rnacentral:rRNA from 1 species
AGCUCCAGUAGCGUAUAUUAAAGUUGUUGCAGUUAAAAAGCUCGUAGUUGGACUUCUGGUUUGGUGCGCUCGGCCCGCUCCCUUUAGGGAUGUGAGUGUUGACGCGCGCCUUCCAUCUUUGUACAGGACCUCUCUGCCCUUCACUGGGACUGGAUUGGCGAUGUGCAUCUUUUACUUUGAAAAAAUUAGAGUGUUUAAAGCAGGCUUGUGCUAUGAAUACAUUAGCAUGGAAUAAUAACUUAGGACUUUGGUUCUAUUUUGUUGGUUUCUAGGACCGAAGUAAUGAUUGAUAGGGAUAGUUGGGGGUGCUAGUAUUCAGCGGCCAGAGGUGAAAUUCUUGGAUUCGCUGAAGACUAACUCAUGCGAAAGCAUUCACCAAGGAUGUCUUCUUUA